rnacentral:piRNA from 1 species
UUUCAGGUUGAUUUGGCCAAAUGAAGGU